AAGGAGGAAGUCAGCCUGCCUUCAAAAUUCCCUUGGCUUCGGGGGCUGAGGAUUUGCCCUUGCUGUUGCUGGCAGACAUCAGACUCCAGCUUCUUCAGCUUCUCAACUUGGACUCACACCAGCAGCUCUCCAGGGACCUCCCAGCCCACCAGGCUCAGACGGGCGCCCUGUCCUGAUCUCUUGUCCUGUGGCUUCCGCCUUCCUGAGCGAAGCAGCCACUGGAUCCCCUGGCUCUCCAGUGUGCAGAUAUCCUCAGUGGCUCUCGGGUGCCAUCCUGGGAGCUACCUCCCCAGUCCCCUGCGUAAUUAGGCGGCAUGUAUAUGCUGCCUGUGGGUUCUGUUCUCCAGCACAGCCGUGAAAGUGAAGAGACCUGAAGGAGCUGAGAGGACAGAUGCCUCGUGUGGGCUGGGACCUGCACUGUCCCUUGGCUCGCUGGGCACCCAGGGACCCACGGGGACGUGGCACAUGCUGUCUACAGUCAUUGCAGGCUCUCACAGCCACGGCGCUCGGCUUGGUACCCGGCGUUUAAGCAAAGCUCCUCAGAAUGUUUAGGGAUGAAGGACACCCUGCCGGCCAGCCGCGAUCUGGUGAACAACCUGAGAUGCUAGCAGUUGGGGAGUCUGGUGAGAGACAGCCCUACAGGUGCAAGGAGCAGACCCAGCUGGGGCCCUGCAGCCAGCAGAGGGGAUGGCACCUGACUGCACCUCUCUCGGAAGUUCCGGGAGCCCAGGUCCCGUGGCAGCGAGAGUCCACUUGCCGCCUCCCCUCCCAACACCCACUAAGACCCCGUCCCACCUCCUGGGAGCGCUGAGCAGUCUUGGCCGCCGGGCCACCGCCCGCUUCCAUCAGAGAACCUCAUCUUUCCAGCCUUCCCCUUCCCCGAAAGACCCCUCCUCGGCUGCUUUCCGGAGAAAAUAAGGGCCCAGGACGAGACAAUGAGGAAAACACCUGACUCCGCCCAGGCUCCCAUGGUUUUACAGUCCUGGAAACGGAGCCUGGAGAGGCGACUUGCGUCACCAGAGGUCACACAGCUAUUCUGCGGCCAAGCCAGGCGGGCUGAGCGUGCUCCAUCCGGGCUUCCUGUGUGUGACGCACCCAGCCCGAGAGUGGACAAGCAGGGAG
rnacentral:lncRNA from 1 species